rnacentral:rRNA from 1 species
GCGUGUGUGAAGAAGGCUUUCGGGGUUGUAAAGCAAUUUCAGUCAGGAGGAAAGGUUAGUAGUUAAUACCUGCUAGCUGUGACGUUACUGACAGAAGAAGCACCGGCUAACUCCGUGCCAGCAGCCGCGGUAAUACGGAGGGUGCGAGCGUUAAUCGGAAUUACUGGGCGUAAAGCGUACGCAGGCGGUUUGUUAAGCGAGAUGUGAAAGCCCCGGGCUCAACCUGGGAACUGCAUUUCGAACUGGCAAACUAGAGUGUGAUAGAGGGUGGUAGAAUUUCAGGUGUAGCGGUGAAAUGCGUAGAGAUCUGAAGGAAUACCGAUGGCGAAGGCAGCCACCUGGGUCAACACUGACGCUCAUGUACGAAAGCGUGGGGAGCAAACAGGAUUAGAUACCCUGGUAGUCCACGCCGUAAACGAUGUCUACUAGAAGCUCGGAGCCUCGGCUCUGUUUUUCAAAGCUAACGCAUUAAGUAGACCGCCUGGGGAGUACGGCCGCAAGGUUAAAACUCAAAUGAAUUGACGGGGGCCCGCACAAGCGGUGGAGCAUGUGGUUUAAUUCGAUGCAACGCGAAGAACCUUACCUACACUUGACAUACAGAGAACUUACCAGAGAUGGUUUGGUGCCUUCGGGAACUCUGAUACAGGUGCUGCAUGGCUG